UACGUAGGGUGCGAGCGUUGUCCGGAAUUAUUGGGCGUAAAGAGCUCGUAGGCGGCUUGUCGCGUCGGAUGUGAAAGCCCGGGGCUUAACCCCGGGUCUGCAUUCGAUACGGGCAGGCUAGAGUGUGGUAGGGGAGAUCGGAAUUCCUGGUGUAGCGGUGAAAUGCGCAGAUAUCAGGAGGAACACCGGUGGCGAAGGCGGAUCUUUGGGCCAUUACUGACGCUGAGGAGCGAAAGCGUGGGUAGCGAACAGG
rnacentral:rRNA from 1 species